rnacentral:lncRNA from 1 species
AUUAUCUAAGGCCAAGUUCGGAUGGAUAUCUAGAGUAAAUGGGAUUGACAUGGUCAUAUAUAACACCUGUUAUGAUUGGAUAUAGCUUUCCCGCCAUUAGAACUCAAUGAGCCCUGGGUUGUGGCAGGGUUACUAGAGAUCGACUCGAUAUCCCGGAUGUUAUGACGUCGAUCCAAUCAAAUUUGAAUGUAAACAUAUUCAGAGUAGGGGCCUUGUACUUCCGGUAAUCUUAGAGUCCUUACUCUUCAAAAUUAUUUACCGUUCAUAUGGAACUAGAGGCAGAACUCGAGUUCCAUCCGAACUUGGCC